AACGAACGCUGGCGGCAUGCCUAACACAUGCAAGUCGAACGAGACCUUCGGGUCCAGUGGCGCACGGGUGCGUAACGCGUGGGAACCUUCCCUUAGGUUCGGAAUAACUCCCCGAAAGGGGUGCUAAUACCGGAUAAUGUCUUCGGACCAAAGAUUUAUCGCCUUUGGAUGGGCCCGCGUUGGAUUAGCUAGUUGGUAGGGUAAAAGCCUACCAAGGCGACGAUCCAUAGCUGGUCUGAGAGGAUGAUCAGCCACACUGGGACUGAGACACGGCCCAGACUCCUACGGGAGGCAGCAGUGGGGAAUAUUGGACAAUGGGCGAAAGCCUGAUCCAGCAAUGCCGCGUGAGUGAUGAAGGCCUUAGGGUUGUAAAGCUCUUUUACCCGGGAUGAUAAUGACAGUACCGGGAGAAUAAGCUCCGGCUAACUCCGUG
rnacentral:rRNA from 1 species